rnacentral:lncRNA from 1 species
CUGGCUCUCGAGAUUCGGAGGGCGGUGCCUCUUCGAUUUUGUAGCAAGCAAUCCUGUUGGGAGUGUUUGUCUCGAAUGUGAGUAAAGGUUGGGCAUGUUUGCUAGUCUACCUUGCCACGAAGCACAAAGGUUGACACACAGAGACUUUCCAAUUAUCCAGCAAUGGUACUGUUCCUUUACCCUCUCUUCGCUUUUGAGAAAGUAGUCAUGUUGGGAGUCUGGCUCUCGAGAUUCGGAGGACGGUGCCUCUUCGAUUUUGGAGCAAGCAAUCUUGUUGGGAGUGUUUUCUCGAAAGUGAGUAAAGGUUGGGCAUGUUUGCUAGUCUACAUUGCCACGAAGCACAGAGGUUGACACACAGGGACUUUCCAAUUAUCCAGCAGUGGUACUGUUCCUUUACCCUUGUGGGUAAUAAUAUGGUAGCUAGACCUUCAAAAUUUAUGUGUCUAAACUUUGUUAGUGCUGUUUCUUUGCUAUUCUUUUACCUUUCUUGGUCAGAGCGAUGUAGUGGGAGCUGCAAGCUUCACGUGCUCAACUUUGGCAGAGAACUUUGGCAAAGUUAUCUGUGGUACCAUGAGCUAUUGUUGCGUGUGGGAAGUGGGUGAUUGAACAGUAAGAUUCAUGUGCUUUCUACUUCACCAAAAGUCUUCGACAGAAUUCCCAUAAUUUCUGCAAAGCUGAGUGCGUGUGACAGGUGCUGACAAGGCUAGAAAAGUAGGUGCCUCUUCGAUUUCUGAGAUCGGCCCUCGUGGUCUCUGAGCAGCCCAGCUUUUGAGAAAGCGAGCGCCUCUUCGAUUGAUUCGGAGAACGAUGCCUCAUCGAUUUUUGAGAAAGCAAUCAUGCUGGGGGUCUGGCUCUCGAAGAUUCGGGGAGCAGUGUCUCUUCGAUUUUUGAGAAAGUAAUCACGUUGGGAGUCUGGCUCUCGAGAUUCGGAGGGCGGUGC